GCCCAUGCCUCAAUGUUGCAAUCCCAUAUUUCUUCUCCUACCCUUUCUGUAGAGUGGCUAAAGUUGGUGGAAUACUCUAGCUGGUUGGAGAAAAGGAAGAAGAAAGAAAUUCUCACCUAAAGUUUAGUGGAAAAUGCCAAAACCCUGGAAGAGAAAUGGUAUCAAAGGAAAACAACAAUAAAACAAUAAAGGAAUUGUCUUCUGAGUCCGGCGGCAUAGAAACACAACAAACAAUAUUUUAUGGCACGAGAAUCAGAUUCCUUACACUUCAAUCCAUACACUUAUGCGGAAAGGAGAAGGAUACUGUGUAGAAGAUCAUAAUGUCUGGCAGCUACAUUCCUUAGUGGAACAAGAAUGGCUUGGGCACAGUAGCCCUUACUCUGUUAACUUUCCAUUGUGGAAGAAAGAUGUGGAUCUGCCUUGAGGACGACUCAGGAGCUUCAGUCUCAACCACAGUAAACAAAAAUAAUACUGAUUUUAAUAAGUGACAAUUAACUAUGAAGUACUGGACAGAAUCUUGGCAACUGAUAGGCACCUCCAAUCUUUAUUUAUUAGGGCAGGGGUGUCAAACUGGAUUUCUUCAAGGGCCGGAUCAGCAUUGUAGUUCUCCUCCGUGGGUCAGCUGGGAGGUGGGACAGAUGGGACAGACGCCUCCUGCACAGUGGUGGGUUUCAAAUUUUUUUACUACUGGUUCUGUGGGUGUGGCUUGGUGGCAUGGUAGGGGAAAGAUACUGGAAAAUCUCCAUUCCCACCCCACUCCAGGGGAAGGUUACUGCAAAAUCCCCCAUUUCUUUCCGUUCAGCUGGGACUCGAGAGGCAGAGAAUAGAUGGGGGUGCGGCCAGUCAGAGGUGGUAUUUACCGGUUCUCCAAACUACUCAAAAUUUCUGCUACUGGUUCUCCAGAACCGGUCAGAACCUGCUGAAACCCACUGCUGCUCCUGCAGCAACCUGCUGGCCAAAAUGGGGCAUUCCAGGCCAAAAACUGGUUGCGGGCCCCCCAUUUUUGCUAGGAGAAACGCCGCGGGCCGAUCCUUUGCUAUUUCCAGGCCGGUCCUGCAGUCCAGAUUUAAGCACCCCGUGGGCCGCAUCCGGCCCACAGGCCUUGAAUGUGACACCCUUGUAUUAGGGGAUUGUUUGAGGCUCUUUCAAUACUUGGAAUCAAUUGCUCCCUGCCAUUUUGCAGCCUGAACUGAAUUGCCAGUGAUGAAAUAAUCUACUAAUGAAGUCCUCUUCCACUUGUUGGUUAUGUCUAACAUUCCUCCUGAUACUUUUCCAAACUCUUCAGCUUCUUAUAUUAGGUGGUGAGAAUACAGGAAUGAGACUGUUCUUUGAUAUAUGCUUUAGAGAUCACAUAAUAUCAGCUCUAAGGAAAGUACACCAGUUCCUGCAUAUUAGCAAUCAGACUUCAAAGUUUUAGUAUUGGAUUUUAAGGCUAUUAAUUGUUAGGAUCCAGAUACUGAAGAAUUACCUGCUUUACUAUUAGGUUAUGUAAGAUUAAGAUCCUCAAAAUCCCACAGCUGAGAGAUUGCAUUAUAUGGGCAAAAAGAGAUUGGUGUUUCUGUUGGGGCAACCUAGUUUUGUGGUAUCUUUUUACUGGAAGCCAGGUUGAUACUCAUUCUGUCUGACUUUCCUAAGCAGAUGAAAAUCUGGCUUUUUCCUGUGACAUCCAGAAUCUACAUGACCAAAACUCCAACAAACUUUUUGUUUUCUUUUACUGUCUUUAUUGUUUUUUUAAAUUAUUUAUUUUUACUCCAUUUUGGAUUAUUAUCUAUCAUAGGAUGCUUGAUAAUGUGCAAACUAUAAACAUUUUAAAGAAAUCAAUCCAUCAUUUUAGAAGAUGGGAAUUAAUAAUAAACAAAUAAAUGGAUAUUCAGACAAAUCAA